UACUUUUUUAAAACUAGCAAUGAUAUUUAGCAGGGUCAUCAAGGCGGCAGAAAAACUUGACCUAGGGGGCCUUUCAGUCGAAGGACUUACAAGAGCCGGCUCAGGAUAUGGCCUUGCAAGUGAAAACGAAGUUGAGAGAAUUGUAGGAGACCCAAGUUUAUCGGAAUAGCUAGAAUGAUUCGAGCCCAACAAAGACGUUUUUCUAGUAUUACCAGAAGAAGUCGAAAACUGUUGUAAUAAACUUCUAAUUUCUGGUACCAAAUCGAAAAC